GGGUUAAGUCCCGCAACGAGCGCAACCCUUAUCCCUAGUUGCCAUCAGGUAAAGCUGGGAACUCUGGGGAGACUGCCGGUGAGUAAACCGGAGGAAGGCGGGGAUGACGUCAAGUCCUCAUGGCCCUUACAUCCCGGGCUACACACGUGCUACAAUGGCAGGUACAGAGGGCUGCGAAGCCGCGAGGUGGAGCGAAUCCCAGAAAACCUGUCUCAGUCCGGAUUGAAGUCUGCAACUCGACUUCAUGAAGGCGGAAUCGCUAGUAACCGCGAAUCAGCAGGUCGCGGUGAAUACGUUCCCGGGCCUU
rnacentral:rRNA from 1 species